CAUGCACAUGGUGAACAUACUCAGGCAUACACGUGUACAUGCAUAAAGUAAAAAAAUACUCCAAGCGUCAUGUCUUCGGUGCCGGUGGCUUCCUGUCUGCUGGUUCUAUCCUCAAACACCAGGACAUGG
rnacentral:snoRNA from 1 species